rnacentral:rRNA from 1 species
GACGUAGGGCGCGCGCGUUGUCCGGAUUUAUUGGGCGUAAAGAGCUCGUAGGCGGUUCCGUAAGUCAGAUGUGAAAACUCAGGGCUCAACCCGGAGACGCCAUCUGAUACUGCGGUGACUGGAGUCUGGUAGGGGAACACGGAAUUCCUGGUGUAGCGGUGAAAUGCGCAGAUAUCAGGAGGAACACCGAUGGCGAAGGCAGUGUUCUGGGCCAGUACUGACGCUGAGGAGCGAAAGCGUGGGGAGCAAACAGG